AAAGAUAAAUAUGGUUCGUAAUUGUUUUUGUAGCAGCCAAUAAUAAGAACAUUGAUAUUGAGAAGUUAAGGAAAUAUUUUGGUGAUGUCACGUAACCUCCCAUUACACUUGGAUUUUAUGUGUGUAGCCAAUGCAUCCAUUAUUUAAAAUUAAACUGUCAUUUCUUAUAUGUGGUAACUGCUAUUCCUAUUUUGUAUGUGUUAAAAUUUGAUAAUAGGAAUAAAAACGUGAGAAGUUAUAAAGUGAAAUAUUUUGUUAAAC
rnacentral:lncRNA from 1 species